GACUGGGCUCUGCUGCCAAGAAAAGCCUCUAAGCGAUGAAGACUAGGCGUCCGUACCGCAGACCGACACAGGUGGGCCGGUAGAGGAUACCAAGGCGAACGGGAGAACCCUCGUUAAGGAAUUAGGCAACUUAGCCCCGUAACUUCGGGAAAAGGGGCGCCUCUGAGAGUGAACUAUAAGCAUAGGGAGCUUUUGGGGGUCGCAGAGAAAUGGCUCUAGUGACUGGUUACCAAAACCACAGGUCUCUGCUAACGCGUAAGCGGCAGUAUAGGGGCUGACACCUGCCCAGUGCCGGUAGGUUAAAGGGAGAGGUUAGGCGCAAGCCGAAGCUUUGAACUGAAGCCCCGGUGAACGGCGGCCGUAACGAUAACGGUCCUAAGGUAGCGAAAUUCCUUGUCGGGUAAGUUCCGACCCGCACGAAUGGUGUAACAACUAGAGCACUGUCUCAACGAGGGGCCCGGCGAAAUUGAAAACGCGGUAAAGAUGCUGUGUACCCGCAGCAGGACAAAAAGACCCCGUGGAGCUUUACUGUAGUUUGGCACUGGAUUAGGGUUGCGUUUGUGUAGCAUAGGUGGGAGACGCAGAAGCUGGGACGCCAGUCUCGGUGGAGUCGGCGGUGAAAUACCACCCUGGCGCAAUCUUGAUUCUAACCAGAGCCCGUAAACCGGGCUGGGGACCGUGCCAGGCAGGCAGUUUGACUGGGGUGGUCGCCUCCCAAAGAGUAACGGAGGCGCUCAAAGGUUCCCUCAGGUGGCAUGGAAACCCACCGCAGAGUGCAAAGGCAAAAGGGAGCUUGACUGUGAGGCAAACAGGCCGAGCAGGGACGCAAGUCGGACUUAGUGAUCCCACGGUACCGAGUGGAAGGGCCGUGGCUUACCGGAUAAAAGCUACCCCGGGGAUAACAGGGUGGUGAGGCCCAAGAGUUCACAUCGACGGCCUCGCUCGCCACCUCGAUGUCGGCUCGUCACAUCCUGGGGCUGGACAAAGUCCCAAGGGUUGGACUGUUCGUCCAUUAAAGUGGCACGCGAGCUGGGUUCAGACCGUCGUGAGACAGGUCGGUCUCUAUCCGCUGUGGGCGAAGGGGAUUUGAGGGGAGCUGCCUUCAGUACGAGAGGACCAGGGUGGACGGACCGCUGGUGUGCCAGUUGUGGUGCCAACCGCAUCGCUGGGUAGCCAGGUCCGGCAGGGAUAACCGCUGAAAGCAUCUAAGUGGGAAGCCCGCCCCAAGAUGAGAUCCCCCACACCGAGAGGUGGUAAGACCGCGGGAAGACUACCCGUUAGAUAGGCAGGAAGUGUAAGCACUGCAAGGUGUUGAGCUAACCUGUACUAAAGGUCGAGGGCUUCUUCCG
rnacentral:rRNA from 1 species